CGCUGACCUGUGGGGCACAGCUUCCCCUCACCUUGACCUUCACACUGACAUUCACCUGGGACCAAAAGAGAAACAAAAAAUAGCAAGGUGUUGUGGUCCAGUUUCCAGCCUGGAUCACAGCUGGCCUCUGUGAGUCCGUUUCGACAUGCACAAUCGCACGUGGACUCGUCCAGAACCCUGUUGGGCCCGCAGAGCGCUAGGAGACCUGAGUCCAGCGCCUCUGGAAACCACAUGGAAAGAAAAAAUAUCAUCCUGAAUCAUCUGCUGUAACAUCCAAACACUCUGAGGGCAAAUCAGUUACUGACAACUGUAAAAUAAAUUACGGGGAUGUCAGACAGACAAUCAGACGGGGAAAGAAGAAGAGGAGAGACAGACAGGAGGCCGACAUCAAGACGAGGAGGAGGAGGAGGAGGAAGAGGGAGAAAGAGGUGUGUCUGGGAAAUGCUCGAAUGAGAAAACAUCCGAUUUUUGGGCCAGUCACCGCCAGCCUUCUUCAAGGAUUAAAGACGCACACUCUCAUGCACGCACAUGUCGGCAAGUUUCUGCUUGCAGUAUGCUUUAUGUGUUGAAAUCCUCACAACCAAGCUCCACAUUCCAGUCAUUGCUUUCUCAAUUUCAUCAUGUGAGCAGGAUGCAUAGAAUAAGAGAUGAUACAGAGGGGCUUUUAUGACCAGU